GACGAACGCUGGCGGCGUGCUUAACACAUGCAAGUCGAACGGAAAGGCCCCUUUGGGGGUACUCGAGUGGCGAACGGGUGAGUAACACGUGAGUAACCUGCCCUUGACUUCGGGAUAACUUCAGGAAACUGGGGCUAAUACCGGAUAGGAAUCCUUGCUGCAUGGUGGGGGUUGGAAAGCUUCGGCGGUUUUGGAUGGACUCGCGGCUUAUCAGCUUGUUGGUGGGGUAGUGGCUUACCAAGGCUUGACGGGUAGCCGGCCUGAGAGGGGGACCGGCCACAUUGGGACUGAGAUACGGCCCAGACUCCUACGGGAGGCAGCAGUGGGGAAUAUUGCACAAUGGGCGGAAGCCUGAUGCAGCAACGCCGCGUGCGGGAUGACGGCCUUCGGGUUGUAAACCGCUUUCAGCAGGGGCGAAGCUUUUGUGACGGUACCUGCAGAAGAAGCACCGGCUAACUACGUG
rnacentral:rRNA from 1 species